AUCUGCUCCCGAGUCCCCAGCCCCGUCCUGAGGCGUGCAGCCCCCGGGGUCGUGGCUAGGGGCGCAGGGCCCACAGAGGGGAGGUCCGGGUCGAUGGCGUAGGCAGAGUUGGAGCCCUGGGUUGCCAAAGCGUCGCAGCUGAGAAGCAGGAGCCGAGGCUAGUACUGGCGGGGCGGGGCGGGGCGGGGCGGGGCCGAGAGCGAGCAUCUCCAUCCUCAGUUUCCUCGACUUGCGGCAACGGCACAGCUGGGUGCAGUUCGGACCUCCACGCCUCAGCGAAGGACUGCUGUCCCCCAGGCAGCUUCACUAACCCGGUGCGGAGCACUUGGCGACGCCUCCCUGCCCAUCUCAUGUCUCUCGGCUCAUCGCUGCUCUGGGCACCGGCUGCCUCUUGGCUGGCGCUGCUGUCACACGGUGGACUGUUCUGGCCUUACUGAGCUGCCGUUUGGGGACAUCAGAUUCAGCAAGAAGAAUUGUAUAAAAAUGAAAAAAACAUUGAUGUGUGCUUCAAAUGUGGCAUGAAAAAAAUAAGGACCUCUGAUCAAAAUUGGCUGAGUUCAGAAUUUCAUGCUGGAAGGAAUGUUAGAUGUAACUUCUAAUUUCUAGUUCCAGUAAACAUCUCUUCUUGGAAAAUUUCCAAAAGAGAGUCCUGCUCUGUUGCCCAGGCUGGAGUACAUUGGUGUGAUCAUGGUUCCCUGCAGCCUCGACCUCCCAGGCUCAAACAAUUCUCCUACCUCAGCCUCCUGAGUAACUGAGACUAUAGG